UAAGCGGAGGAAAAGAAACUAACUAGGAUUCCCUUAGUAACGGCGAGUGAAGAGGGAAAAGCCCAAAUUUGUAAUCUGGCUCUAUUCUUGAGUCUGAGUUGUAAUUUUAAGAGCUGUUUUCUGUGCUGGACUGUGUACAAGUGUGUUGAAAAACACCAUCAUAGAGGGUGAUAAUCCCGUAUAUGACAUAGAUCAAACCAGUGCUAUAUGAUACAGUUUCUAAGAGUCGAGUUGUUUGGGAAUGCAGCUCAAAUUGGGUGGUAAAUUCCAUCUAAGGCUAAAUAUAGGUGAGAGACCGAUAGCAAACAAGUACCGUGAGGGAAAGAUGAAAAGAACUUUGGAAAGAGAGUUAACAGUACGUGAAAUUGUUAAAAGGGAAACAAUUGAAGUUAGCCUUGUUGUUGUUGGUUCAGCCCUGUUUGGGUGUAUUCCAAUUAUCAGCAGACCAACAUCAAUUCUGCAGUGCUGGAUAAGGGUUUUGAAAAUGUAGCAGUCUUUGGCUGUGUUAUAGAUCUUUACUUUGAUACAGUGCUUGGGAUUGAGGACUGCAGUAAGCUCUAUUGUGGAAUGAUUUUGAUUGUUCUUCUUACUCAGGAUGUUGGGAAUAGCUUCAACUGACCCGUCUUGA
rnacentral:rRNA from 1 species